rnacentral:lncRNA from 1 species
GUAAGGAUGAGGUCUAAUUAUUUUUUUAUGCAACAAAAAAGUUAUACUAAUGCAACAAAAAAGUUAUACUAAUUUCAAUAAAAUUGGUUAUUACUACCAUGAAAUUUCUGUGAUGCUAUUAACUGUUUUUGCUCUUUUUUAAAAAAUUUAGAAAAAUAAAUUGAAAUUUCGUGCCACUACUGACAUGUCACAUGUUAUUGUAUGUAAAGAUUAAAUUUUUGUUAUGAGAACUACAGUUCUUAUGAAAGAAAAAGAUUCACUAAAAGCCUACUACUACUACUACUCUGGUAAAUCACAUCAGCUUUAUCAGAAUUUAGAAAAAUGAAUUAAACUACAACUUUUGAACAGUCAUUGUUUGUGAAGUUGCCUUUGUUAUCACUUGAUUAGUUUGCUUACUGUUGAAACAUGGUUUUAAUUUUGUAAAUUUAAUGAUAUGAAAUUUACUCUAUUAAUCAUUAGUUGACAGUUAAAGAGAAGCUGGAGCUUUACAUAAUAAAGGCAUUGGAAGGCUUUACUUGACUUUCUUUUUAUGGUACCUGCUGUGUUGUAACAGAUCUUAAAAAGAACUUUACGGAUGUUAACGUAGUCUUUUUUGUUGGUAACCGUAAGCAAUUAUUUAAUUACUAAUAACCCGUAUUACGGGUUGCUUACUGCUAGUAUA